GACGAACGCUGGCGGCGUGCCUAAUACAUGCAAGUCGAGCGAAGUUUUUCUGGUGCUUGCACUAGAAAAACUUAGCGGCGAACGGGUGAGUAACACGUAAAGAACCUGCCUCAUAGACUGGGACAACUAUUGGAAACGAUAGCUAAUACCGGAUAACAGUAUUUCUCGCAUGAGAGAUAUUUAAAAGUUGGUUAUGCUAACACUAUGAGAUGGCUUUGCGGUGCAUUAGCUAGUUGGUGGGGUAAAGGCCCACCAAGGCGACGAUGCAUACCCGACCUGAGAGGGUGAUCGGCCACACUGGGACUGAGACACGGCCCAGACUCCUACGGGAGGCAGCAGUAGGGAAUCUUCCGCAAUGGGCGAAAGCCUGACGGAGCAACGCCGCGUGAGUGAAGAAGGAUUUCGGUUCGUAAAGCUCUGUUGUUAGGGAAGAAUGGAUAUGUAGUAACUAUACAUGUAAGAGACGGUACCUAACCAGAAAGCCACGGCUAACUACGUG
rnacentral:rRNA from 1 species